rnacentral:rRNA from 1 species
AUUGAACGCUGGCGGCAGGCCUAACACAUGCAAGUCGGACGGUAGCACAGAGGAGCUUGCUCCUUGGGUGACGAGUGGCGGACGGGUGAGUAAUGUCUGGGGAUCUGCCCGAUAGAGGGGGAUAACCACUGGAAACGGUGGCUAAUACCGCAUACCGUCGCAAGACCAAAGAGGGGGACCUUCGGGCCUCCCACUAUCGGAUGAACCCAGAGGGGAUUAGCUAGUAGGCGGGGUAAUGGCCCACCUAGGCGACGAUCCCUAGCUGGUCUGAGAGGAUGACCAGCCACACUGGAACUGAGACACGGUCCAGACUCCUACGGGAGGCAGCAGUGGGGAAUAUUGCACAAUGGGCGCAAGCCUGAUGCAGCCAUGCCGCGUGUAUGAAGAAGGCCUUCGGGUUGUAAAGUACUUUCAGCGGGGAGGAAGGCGGUGCGGUUAAUAACCGCGCCGAUUGACGUUACCCGCAGAAGAAGCACCGGCUAACUCCGUGCCAGCCGCCGCGGUAA